AGGGGCACCGGCAGCGCUGGGCUAGCAGGGGCUGUAGGUCGGGAGUGAGGGGCACCGGCAGAGCUGGGGGGCAGGGCUGGGCUAGCAGGGGCUGCAGGUCGGGAGUGAGGGGCACCGGCAGAGCUGGGGGGGGCAGGCCUGGGCUAGCAGGGGCUGCAGGUCGGGAGUGAGGGGCACCGGCAGAGCUGGGGGAACAGGACUGGACUAGCAGGGGCUGCAGGUCGGGAGUGAGGGGCACCGGCAGAGCUGGGGGGGGCAGGACUGGGCUAGCAGGGGCUGCAGGUCGGGAGUGAGGGGCACCGGCAGAGCUGGGGGGGGCAGGGCUGGGCUAGCAGGGGCUGCGGGUCGGGAGUGAGGGGCACCGGCAGAGCUGGGGGGGGCAGGACUGGGCUAGCAGGGGCUGCAGGUCGGGAGUGAGGGGCACCGGCAGAGCUGGGGGGGGCAGGGCUGGGCUAGCAGGGGCUGCGGGUCGGGAGUGAGGGGCACCGGCAGAGCUGGGGGGGCAGGGCUGGGCUAGCAGGGGCUGCAGGUCGGGAGUGAGGGGCACCGGCAGAGCUGGGGGGGCAGGGCUGGGCUAGCAGGGGCUGCAGGUCGGGAGUGAGGGGCACCGGCAGAGCUGGGGGGCAGGACUGAGCUAGCAGGGGCUGCAGGUUGGAAGUGAGGGGCACCAGCAGAGCUGGGGGGGCAGGGCUGGGCUAGCAGGGGCUGUGGGUCGGGAGUGAGGGGCACCAGCAGAGC